GAGAAAUCAAAAAGGGGAUUUUUGUUGUUCAUGUUUUGAGAUUGAAGGUUAACGGUGUCUUUGGAUUCGAUAGGCGAACUACAUAAGUUAAGGUUUGAGUUGCGAUUAGAGUGGCAGGUGACUGUGAUGUAAGUGGUGUGGACUUGGGCGAAGGAGUGAUUGACGUUUGGGUCGAGUAAAGUGUUUGGUUUGUGUAUAGGGUGGUAGAU